rnacentral:lncRNA from 1 species
AACCUGAGUAGCUUCCAUAUGUUGGCCUUUGAUGUAAUAACUGUGUAUCCAUUUGAUCCAAAGUCUAUCCUGCUUCUUCUCUAUAUCCCAACACAUCUUUAGAACUGCUGCUUUGUUCCAUACCUUUAAAUUCACCAAGUUUAAUCCUCCAUCCACCUUGGUGUACACAUCUUCUCCCAAGAGACUGCGGCCUUCUUAGUUAUGCUCUUGAGUCCAGAC